UAAAAACAGGAGAGAACAUUUUCAUGGUC
rnacentral:piRNA from 1 species